CCGAUUUUCAGAAAUGCUUUGGAUAUUUUGACGUUAAAAUUCACAGGUAAAAUAAAGCCACAUUUCUUAUUUUUGCCAUAGUUUUUGUGUACGAUAUUUAACUAUAGAUCUCUUUUUAUUUUUAUAGCAUUAAAGCGUUAUUAGAGGAAAAGAACGCGCGAAAAUAUAUCACACAUAACUUGUUUACAUCACCAUUAGCAACGGCUGAAAAUACGCGACCAAGUUGGAUUUCAAUUGAAUUUUGUUUGUAAUGUGUUGCUAUAAUAAGGAAAAAGGAGUAGAAUAACUCAUUGACACGCUGAAGUCAAGAUCUAAGAGUUUUUAACGGGAUUUCUGGCAAUUUUGUAUGCAUACUUCACAUGUGAGUUAAUUUGAUAGUGUCCUUGGAAGGUGGAACUAUUAUAUUAUUGAGCUUCUCCAUAUAAAGCUUUUUAAGGUUUGGUUUGACUAUAGUUACGUUUAAUCAACGGAUGACAGUAUAUUAAUGGCAAUGGGCUUUUGUUCGUGAUGACAUAAACUUGAAACUUCA